UGGGGAAUAUUGGACAAUGGGGGCAACCCUGAUCCAGCAAUGCCGCGUGUGUGAAGAAGGUCUUCGGAUUGUAAAGCACUUUCGACGGGGACGAUGAUGACGGUACCCGUAGAAGAAGCCCCGGCUAACUUCGUGCCAGCAGCCGCGGUAAUACGAAGGGGGCUAGCGUUGCUCGGAAUGACUGGGCGUAAAGGGCGUGUAGGCGGUUUACACAGUCAGAUGUGAAAUCCCCGGGCUUAACCUGGGAGCUGCAUUUGAUACGUGUAGACUAGAGUGUGAGAGAGGGUUUGUGG
rnacentral:rRNA from 1 species